AACCAUGCCGGAGUUUCUGUAAGCAUCCAAAAAUUCACCAAAGUAAUCGAAAGCUAUGAUGCUCGGUGAGUCCCAUCACGCUAAUCCAACGGUUAACGUUCCUCCUUGGCCCCUCCACCUCGAUGAUUUGACCUCUGAUAUCUGUUCUCCUUACCCGGUCAGUGGUGUCUCCGUCGACUCAGAUGGUAAUGCCAGCACCGGCGAUUACUCGCCGUUUUACCUACAGGAUGCCCUGUCGGCGCUGCAGCGUUAUCUCCCAUCCAACGAUGCCGACAUCGACUCCGACUCUGAUGUUGCGGGUCGGGAUUCCGAUGCUCCUGUCGAUGCCUAUUCCUGCGAUCAUUUCCGUAUGUACGAGUUCAAGGUGAGAAGGUGCGCACGUGGCAGGUCACAUGACUGGACGGAAUGCCCUUAUGCUCAUCCGGGAGAGAAGGCUCGCCGGAGAGACCCGAGGAAGUAUCACUAUUCCGGCACUGCAUGCCCUGAUUUUCGCAAAGGGAGCUGUAAGAAGGGCGAUGCUUGUGAGUUCGCGCAUGGAGUAUUUGAGUGCUGGCUUCACCCGUUUCGUUAUCGUACGCAGCCGUGUAAGGACGGUACGAGCUGCAGGAGAAGGGUGUGCUUUUUUGCUCACACGCCGGAGCAACUGAGGAUUCUGCCUCAGCAGAGUCCAAGGAGUGGUAACUCUGUAGAUUCAUACGACGGCUCUCCGUUCAGGCAGGUGAUUGAAUCUUCCUGCGCUAAAACUCUGCCUUUCAUAUCGUCUCCGUCUUCGAUUUCACCUUCUGCUAGCUCCCCGACGGAGUCUCCUCCUGUGUCUCCGAUGGCACAGUCUAGCCGGUCUGUUUGUACGAGCUCCAUCAAUGAGAUGGCGGCUUCUCUGCGUAAUUUGCAGCUUGGCAAGGCCAAGUCUUUGUCCUUAUCCUCUUCUUGGAAUGUUCCUCUGGGGUCUCCCUGCUUCGGGUCUCCGAGAGGAUCUAUGCUCCGUCCCGGAUUCUGCAGCCUCCCCACCACCCCUACACAGGCGCCAACUCGCGCCGGCGGCAGCUAUUUUGAUCUCUGGGAUCAGAGCUGUGCGGAGGAGCCGGUGAUGGAACGGGUCGAGUCCGGAAAGAACAUAAGGGCAAAGAUGUUCGAGAGAUUGAGCAAAGAGAACUCGCUGGACAGGUCGGAUCCGGGUUCAUCGGGCGGAGGUCCGGAUGUGGGGUGGGUUUCGGAGCUGGUGAAGUGAACCGGAAGUAAGCCACGUGGCUCAUUUGCAUAGCGUUUCUGAUUUCUUUCAUCCAUGUCGUGUUAUUUGGGUGGGUACUAUUCUGAUUUUCUCAGCGCUGCGUGUGGAUAGAAAGUGAGGCGGAAGCAGAGAGAGGAAUGGGUAAGUGAAAGAAAAACGACAAAAACGGCGGCGUGUUUGGCAUUUUGUGGGGAAGGAUUUGGGCUUGGGGGGAUUGUUCCAAAGGGUUGGCUGUAGGGUGAGCGGAGAGCAGAGUGCGCGGCCACAGUACAUGUGUUGUCAUCGUGUGGAUUUUUUUUUCCAUCCGUGUUUAUCCGGAGAACAACACGUAGGGG